CAACUGGCUUUUUUCAAAGCCAUCCAAU
rfam:Amphimedon queenslandica AMPQTscaffold_10139_Cont17487, whole genome shotgun sequence.